GUAAUGUGGCACAGCCUUUGUGAGGUAACGUGGCACAGACCCUGUGAGGUAACAUGGCACAGCCACCCUGAUUGAGAGGGCUCCUGUAAGGUAAUGUGGCACAGCCACCCUGAGUGAUAGAGCCUCUGUGAGGUAAUGUGGCGCAGCCUUUGUGAGGUAACAUGGCACAGCCCCGGUGAGGUAACAUGGCACAGAUACCCUGAGCGAGAGAGCCCCUGUGAGGUAACAUGGCACAGCCACCCUGAUUGAGAGGGCUCCUGUGAGGUAAUGUGGCACAGCCACUGUGAGGUAACGUGGCACAGCCAUCCUGAGUGAGAGCCCCUGUGAGGUAUCAUGGCACAGCCCCUGUGAGGUAACAUGGCACAGCCCCGGUGAGGUAACGUGGCACAGACACCCUGAGCGAGAGAGCCCCUGUGAGGCAAACAGAAGACGUGCAAACAUCCAGAGAAACACACAUUAGGAAAACAAGAAAAGCAAUUUAAAAGCAGCUGCCUUCACUUCCCUCUAGACCAGGUUGCUUCUGGAAACAAAGAAUGCAGGCCAUACUUACAGGAUAGGGGACUCUAUCCUGGGAGGCAGGGACUCUGAAGAUUUAGGGGUCAUAGUGGACAAUCAGCUGAAUGUGAGCUCCCAGUGGGAUGCUGUGGU